rnacentral:rRNA from 1 species
GAUGAACGCUGGCGGCGUGCCUAAUACAUGCAAGUCGAGCGAACAGACGAGGAGCUUGCUCCUCUGACGUUAGCGGCGGAUGGGUGAGUAACACGUGGAUAACCUACCUAUAAGACUGGGAUAACUUCGGGAAACCGGAGCUAAUACCGGAUAAUAUAUUGAACCGCAUGGUUCAAUAGUGAAAGACGGCUUUGCUGUCACUUAUAGAUGGAUCCGCGCCGCAUUAGCUAGUUGGUAAGGUAACGGCUUACCAAGGCAACGAUGCGUAGCCGACCUGAGAGGGUGAUCGGCCACACUGGAACUGAGACACGGUCCAGACUCCUACGGGAGGCAGCAGUAGGGAAUCUUCCGCAAUGGGCGAAAGCCUGACGGAGCAACGCCGCGUGAGUGAUGAAGGUCUUCGGAUCGUAAAACUCUGUUAUUAGGGAAGAACAAAUGUGUAAGUAACUAUGCACGUCUUGACGGUACCUAAUCAGAAAGCCACGGCUAACUACGUG